GAUGUUCACCGAUUUUCCCUCAGCUCCGACUGUGGCUCCUCUCAGCUGACUCUGACCCUGCUCUCAGCCGGGCUGCAUCUGCCCAUCUCAGCACAUCAAUAAACAGCAGAGGGAAACUACCACCUUGGAAGGAGCCAGGCAGUUUCUGCUGGGUAGGCCGCAGCCUGGAACAUGGAAGUAGCUUCUUCCAUCCUACACUGGAAACCACCCAGCAUCCCGGGCCCUCCAGAGAAGAGCCAGACUCCCUUCCCUGGGAAGAGACUAUAGUCCUAUCUGUAUCCUCCGUGGUCAUUGCCCCUCAGUCACAGCAAUGAAGAGCAAAUUACCUGUUUUCUGUAUGUUCCUCUGACAACAACUGCCACAGAGUAAAUAUGAAAGAUCAAGAAGUGAUAACUGGGACUGCUA
rnacentral:lncRNA from 10 species